rnacentral:rRNA from 1 species
UUUAUUGAGAGUUUGAUCCUGGCUCAGGACGAACGCUGGCGGCGUGCUUAACACAUGCAAGUCGAGCGAUGAAGUUCCUUCGGGAACGGAUUAGCGGCGGACGGGUGAGUAACACGUGGGUAACCUGCCUCAUAGAGGGGAAUAGCCUUUCGAAAGGAAGAUUAAUACCGCAUAAGAUUGUAGUGCCGCAUGGCAUAGCAAUUAAAGGAGUAAUCCGCUAUGAGAUGGACCCGCGUCGCAUUAGCUAGUUGGUGAGGUAACGGCUCACCAAGGCGACGAUGCGUAGCCGACCUGAGAGGGUGAUCGGCCACAUUGGGACUGAGACACGGCCCAGACUCCUACGGGAGGCAGCAGUGGGGAAUAUUGCACAAUGGGGGAAACCCUGAUGCAGCAACGCCGCGUGAGUGAUGACGGUCUUCGGAUUGUAAAGCUCUGUCUUCAGGGACGAUAAUGACGGUACCUGAGGAGGAAGCCACGGCUAACUACGUGCCAGCAGCCGCGGUAAUACGUAGGUGGCAAGCGUUGUCCGGAUUUACUGGGCGUAAAGGGAGCGUAGGUGGAUAUUUAAGUGGGAUGUGAAAUACUCGGGCUUAACCUGGGUGCUGCAUUCC